rnacentral:lncRNA from 1 species
GUAUAUGUGAGCGUUUGUAUGUAUAUCUGUGAGUGUGCGCUUGUAUAUGUGUGUUUGAGUGUGUGUUUGACUGUGUGGUCGCGUUUUUGAGAAUCAUCCAAAUGUGUGUGUUAGUAUAUAACAAAAUGUUUUUUAUGAAUUGAGUGAACAAGAUAUAAAAGCAAUACUGAUAUUGAAAUUGCUUCGUGUGGAAUGCGAAAUCUCAAAUACUAAUAAUUCUCAAUAUUUGACUGUUUUUUCUGUUUUUAAUUAGCAUUAUUGCCAUUAUCCUUCUUAUUAUUAAUAUCCUUUUAAUUAAAGGUAUUAUCUUCAUAAGAGCUCGUUACCUCCAGCACCAACAGCCAACGGGAUGACAUCCCAGGCAAGCAAUGCGGAACUUCUUGCUCUGGUCGAAGCAGGUGACGCCGAAGGGAUGCAGACCGCCCUCGGCUCCCUCGCUGCAGACGCCCUCUCGACUUUCUUCGGUAAGACAGCAAAAGCAACCCUGGUCGAGAGGCCAUUUCGACAUUUUCUUGUUGGCAUGUGUGUGAGGUAGAAUUGAUUGGGUCUUGCCUUUUGAUGGCCAGAGAUGCUGAUGACGUUUUAAAAUGUGGAAUUUGAAUAUGGAAAUAGAAUAUGAACUACCAA